rnacentral:misc_RNA from 1 species
GUGAAUCAUCGAAUCUUUGAACGCAUAUUGCGCUUUCUGGUAUUCCGGAGAGCAUGCCUGUUUGAGUGUAAUUAAAAAAAAUCUUUAAUCUCUUUUGAGAGUAAGGGAUAUGAUUUUCCACGUUUAAUUCUUGUUAAUCUGAAAUAAAUUAUAGUCUUCAGUUAGUCGAGACGCGUAAUAAUAUUAUUUCGUCAAACGAUUAUUGAUCUAUCUAGUUGUUAUGACCUUUGUAAGGUUAUUAAAACAACAAAUAAUUUUGACAUUACCUCAAAUCAGUGAGGACUACCCGCGGAACCUAAG